rnacentral:rRNA from 1 species
AUACGGAGGGUGCAAGCGUUAUUCGGAAUCACUGGGCGUAAAGGACGCGUAGGCGGGUUGGCAAGUCAGAUGUGAAAUCCUACAGCUUAACUGUAGAACUGCAUUUGAAACUGCUAACCUAGAGUAUGGGAGGGGGAGAUGGAAUUAGUGGUGUAGGGGUAAAAUCCGUAGAUAUCACUAGGAAUACCGAAAGCGAAGGCGAUCUCCUGGAACAUAACUGACGCUAAGGCGUGAAAGCGUGGGGAGCAAACAGCAUUAGAAACCCUAGUAGUCC